rnacentral:rRNA from 1 species
GACGAACGCUGGCGGCGUGCCUAAUACAUGCAAGUCGAACGCAGUGGGGCCGGGUGAGUAACCCGUGGGUAACCUCCCAUCAGAGGGGAUAACACUUUGAAACAGGUGCUAAACCGAUACUGAUGGAUGGACCCGCGGUGCAUUAGCUAGUUGGUGAGGUAAAGGCUCACCAAGGCCACGAUGCAUAGCCGACCUGAGAGGGUGAUCGGCCACACUGGGACUGAGACACGGCCCAGACUCCUACGGGAGGCAGCAGGAGGGAAUCUUCGGCAAUGGACGAAAGUCUGACCGAGCAAUGCCGCGUGAGUGAAGAAGGUUUUCGGAUCGUAAAACUCUGUUGUUAGAGAAGCGUUAUCUAACCAGAAAGCCACGGCUAACUACGUGCCAGCAGCCGCGGUAAUUC